GCAAGUCGAGCGGUAGAAGAAUUUAGCUUGCUAAUUUCUUUGAGAGCGGCGAACGGGUGAGUAACACGUUGGGAUCUGCCCCCAAGUCAGGGAUAGCCAUUGAAAACGAAGAUUAAUACCGGAUAGUCUCUUCGGAGUAAAAAUUUAUUGCUUGAGGAGGAACCUGCGUUCUAUCAGCUAGUUGGUGAGGUAAUAGCUCACCAAGGCAAUGACGGUACCUGGUCUGAGAGGAUGAUC
rnacentral:rRNA from 1 species